AGACCCGAAACCCGGUGAUCUAGCCAUGGGCAGGUUGAAGGUUGGGUAACACUAACUGGAGGACCGAACCGACUAAUGUUGAAAAAUUAGCGGAUGACUUGUGGCUGGGGGUGAAAGGCCAAUCAAACCGGGAGAUAGCUGGUUCUCCCCGAAAGCUAUUUAGGUAGCGCCUCGUGAAUUCAUCUCCGGGGGUAGAGCACUGUUUCGGCAAGGGGGUCAUCCCGACUUACCAACCCGAUGCAAACUGCGAAUACCGGAGAAUGUUAUCACGGGAGACACACGGCGGGUGCUAACGUCCGUCGUGAAGAGGGAAACAACCCAGACCGCCAGCUAAGGUCCCAAAGUCAUGGUUAAGUGGGAAACGAUGUGGGAAGGCCCAGACAGCCAGGAUGUUGGCUUAGAAGCAGCCAUCAUUUAAAGAAAGCGUAAUAGCUCACUGGUCGAGUCGGCCUGCGCGGAAGAUGUAACGGGGCUAAACCAUGCACCGAAGCUGCGGCAGCGACACUGUGUGUUGUUGGGUAGGGGAGCGUUCUGUAAGCCUGUGAAGGUGUGCUGUGAGGCAUGCUGGAGGUAUCAGAAGUGCGAAUGCUGACAUAAGUAACGAUAAAGCGGGUGAAAAGCCCGCUCGCCGGAAGACCAAGGGUUCCUGUCCAACGUUAAUCGGGGCAGGGUGAGUCGACCCCUAAGGCGAGGCCGAAAGGCGUAGUCGAUGGGAAACAGGUUAAUAUUCCUGUACUUGGUGUUACUGCGAAGGGGGGACGGAGAAGGCUAUGUUGGCCGGGCGACGGUUGUCCCGGUUUAAGCGUGUAGGCUGGUUUUCCAGGCAAAUCCGGAAAAUCAAGGCUGAGGCGUGAUGACGAGGCACUACGGUGCUGAAGCAACAAAUGCCCUGCUUCCAGGAAAAGCCUCUAAGCAUCAGGUAACAUCAAAUCGUACCCCAAACCGACACAGGUGGUCAGGUAGAGAAUACCAAGGCGCUUGAGAGAACUCGGGUGAAGGAACUAGGCAAAAUGGUGCCGUAACUUCGGGAGAAGGCACGCUGAUAUGUAGGUGAAGUCCCUCGCGGAUGGAGCUGAAAUCAGUCGAAGAUACCAGCUGGCUGCAACUGUUUAUUAAAAACACAGCACUGUGCAAACACGAAAGUGGACGUAUACGGUGUGACGCCUGCCCGGUGCCGGAAGGUUAAUUGAUGGGGUCAGCGCAAGCGAAGCUCUUGAUCGAAGCCCCGGUAAACGGCGGCCGUAACUAUAACGGUCCUAAGGUAGCGAAAUUCCUUGUCGGGUAAGUUCCGACCUGCACGAAUGGCGUAAUGAUGGCCAGGCUGUCUCCACCCGAGACUCAGUGAAAUUGAACUCGC
rnacentral:rRNA from 1 species